rnacentral:tRNA from 1 species
AAUUACUUAGCUAAAUUAAGUGUUUGUUUUGAAAACAAUUGAUAGGAUUCCUAGUACUAA